ensembl:lncRNA LINC01767 long intergenic non-protein coding RNA 1767
ACUGUCAGCCCAACACAGAAACUCUGCCGCCUGGAGUCACGUGGAUCCAGAUGCGAAGGGACUCCAACGUCAUGCUAAGGAGUUUGGGUAGCCAUCCUGUGACCCUGGAAGAAACCAGCCCAAGGAAGGUGCUAACCUACAGAAGAAGGACAUGGCCAGGGUAAUCACAUAGACCCGGAGUUGAAGCCCUGACUGCACCACACCCGAAGCCUCCCCACCUUUCAACCUCUCGGUGAUGGUGAACCAAUAAACUCUUUUUAUUGUUCAA